CCCCGGAGCCUGGGGAACCGGCCGGGCAGGCCCCGCCCCCCGUGCAGGGAGGUUCCCGCGAGCGGAAGCGCUUGGGGCGGAAGCGGAAGUGCGCAGACGGCUGCGGCUGGGCCGAGGGCGGUGCGGGCGCGUCUCUGGCUGUGCUGGCGUAUCUCUAGAUCCUUUCCAGGAGGUCAGUUAUGGGUGUGAGAGGUUUGCAGGGAUUCGUGGGCAGUACCUGCCCACAUAUAUGUACAGUAGUGAAUUUCAAAGAACUGGCGGAACACCACCGAAGCAAGCAUCCUGGAUGUACUCCUACCAUUGUGGUUGAUGCCAUGUGUUGUCUCAGAUACUGGUACACUCCUGAAUCUUGGAUCUGCGGUGGCCAGUGGCGGGAAUACUUCUCUGCUUUGCGGGAUUUUGUUAAGACUUUUACAGCUGUUGGCAUCAGGUUGAUAUUCUUCUUUGAUGGCACGGUGGAGCAGGAUAAGAGAGAUGAGUGGGUGAAACGAAGACUAAAGAACAACAGGGAGAUCUCCAGGAUUUUCCAUUAUAUCAAGUCACAUAAGGAGCAGCCUGGCAGAAACAUGUUCUUCAUCCCCUCAGGGCUGGCCAUAUUUACACGAUUUGCUUUGAAGAGCCUGGGUCAGGAAACUCUGUGUUCGUUGCAAGAGGCCGACUAUGAGGUGGCAUCUUAUGGCCUCCAGAAUAACUGUCUUGGUAUUCUUGGAGAAGACACCGACUACUUAAUCUAUGAUACCUGUCCCUACUUUUCAAUUAGUGAGCUCUGUCUGGACAGUCUCGAUACUGUCAUGCUCUGUAGAGAGAAGCUCUGUGAGAGUCUAGAUAUCAGCCUGGCAGACCUUCCUCUUCUGGCCUGCCUGCUUGGCAACGAUAUUAUUCCAGAAGGCAUGUUUGAAAGCUUUCGGUACAAGUGCUUGUCUUCCUAUACCUCCGUAAAGGAGAACUUUGACAAAAAAGGGAACAUCAUCUUAGCUGUAGCAGACCAUAUAUCUAAAGUUCUUCGCUUGCAUCAAGGUGAAAAAAAGUUAGAAGAGAUGUUACCUUUGGGACCAAACAAAGCUCUUUUUUAUAAGGGUGUGGCAUCAUAUCUUUUGCCAGGACAGAAAUCUCCAUGGUUUUUCCAAAAACCUAAGGGUUUAAUAACUUUGGACAAGGAGGUGGGAUCCACGAGUUCAGCCCCCGAAUCCAAGCAAGGAGUUCCCAUGUGUACCGACCCCGAAUCCAAGCAAGGAGUUCCCCUGUGUACAGACCCUGAUUCCAAGCAAGGAAUUCCCAUGUGUACCGACGCUGAAUCCAAACAAGGAGUUCCCAUGUGUACAGAUCCUGAGUCCAAGCAAGGAGUUCCCAUGUGGACAAAUCCUGAAUCCAAGCAAGGAGUUCCUGUGUGUACAGAUCCUGAGUCCAAACAAGGAGUUCCUGUUUCUACAGACCCUGAUUCCAAGCAAGCAGUUCCCGUGUGUAUGGAUCCUGGCUCCAAGGAAGGAUUCCUCUUGUGUACACAUCCUGAAUCCAAGCAAGGAGUUCCCAUGUGUACACAUCCUGAAUUCAAGCAAGGAGAUCCUGUGUGUACACACCCUGAAUCCACGCAAGGAGAUCCUGUGUGUACAUACCCUGAAUCCAAGCAAGGGGUUCCCAUGUAUGCAUACUCUGAAUACAGGCAAGGAGUUCCCAUGUGUACAUACUCUGAAUCCAAGCAAGGAGUUCCCAUGUAUACACACACUGAAUUCAAGCAAAAAUCACCUCUGGGUGCAGACCCUGAAUUUAAGCUAGAAGCACCUGUAUGUACAAACCCUGGAAUGAAACAAGAAGACCUUGUGAAUAUGGAGCCUGAAAUCAAACAACAAGUAACCAUGGUUUCAGACCCUGAAAUCUUAAAGAUUGCUAGAGCACAUCACGUCCGGGCAGAGAGCUACCUGGUGUACAACAUCAUGAGCAGCGGGGAGAUCGAAUGCAGCAACACCUUGGAGGACGCGCUGGACCAGGCUCUGCCCAGCCAGGCUUUCGUCUACCGCCCCGUGCGCCAGCGCGUUUACUCCCUCCUGCUGGGGGGCGGCGAAGAUGGCGCCAGCACCUGCCCCACUGUCAAGGAGUGGUUUGUGUACUCUGGGAACCCACUGAGGCACCCGGACCUCGUCAGGCCUCUGCAGAUGAACAUUCCAGGGGGAACCCCUAACUUGAAAUUACUGUGGCUGAACCAAGACGCGGGGAUACAAGCCCGGCGCUUGGACGCGCUGCUAGGCUGCUUCGACCUCUCCUCCUCAAGAGAAGAGCUGCAGGCGGUGGAGAAUCCCUUCAAAGCGCUGUGCUGCCUCCUGACCUACCUCUUCGUGCAGGUGGACACGCUUUGCCUGGAGGAUCUGCAUGCUUUCAUUGCUCAGGCCUUGUGCCUCCAAGGAAAACCAACUGUGCAGCUCGUAGACUUACAGCUUGACUACAUCGACGCCCGAGCCGUGCAGCUUGGCUCCCUGCUGGUCCGCGGCCUUACCACUUUGGUCUUGGUCAACAGCGCGUGCGGCUUCCCCUGGAGGAUGAGUGACUUCAUGCCCUGGAACGUGUUUGACGGGAAGCUCUUCCAUCAGAAGUACCUGCAGUCGGAGAAGGGGUGCACUGUGGAGGCUCUGGUGGAACAAAACAGGUCCCGGCUGACCAAGUUCCACGCGCUGAAGUCGGUCGUGUGCAAGGCCUGCGUGAGGGAGAACCGGCGCAUCGUCAGCAGGCAGCUCUGGCCCUCCCCCCAGCCAGGCAGGUGGGGGAGGCAGGGAUCCGGCUCCCACAGGACGAGCUCCGGGUACAGCCGGGCAGGCCAAGGACAGCACUGGAGGGAUCAGGGUCCAGGUAAGAGGCCGGCGGCCAUGGGCUGCUCGCGAUGGUGCUGUUUCAGCUUCGUGCUUCUGCUGAAGGCUGGCCACCCGACGUCUGUUUGGGCGUCGGUUGGUGUUUCCAGGUAAACAGGUCAUUAUACUGAUGAUGUCUGAUUUCAUUGCUGAGUGAAGUAGAGACCAGUAAUUUCCAAGCUCGGCGCUAGUCGGUCUCUGCUCCUUGCCACUUUGUUUCUUCUCUAUCAAUUCGUUUCAUCUGUUUGAGACCCAUUUUUUUUAUAAGUUUGUCAAAGAAAGGUUCUUGUAAAGGUUUCAUGCACAGGGAUCCUUCUGAUGAAAAAAUAGCACAGAAAGUAGCAUUUUACCAGUAGCAGCAUUUUGAUAUUUUCUGUGAUCUAGCUUGUAUACAGAAGAGCCUUUUGGGUGAUCCAGGAAAUAAAAUGAAUCCUUUACUUCUUGGGUGUGUAAUACAGAUGUCUGAUUUUGUGCGUAAAACUGAAUUUAAUAUGUAGUAGUUUACGUUUUAAAUACAAAGAAAACCUCAUCAAUAUUUAAACUCAAAAUCCCUUACAGUUUUGAAAACCUAACUGUACAGAUCUUAUAUUAGCUAAGGUUUACAAUUUUAUCCUUGCAAAUACAAACAUGCCUUUAAUUUAAUUUAGUUUUUUGCAAACUCUAAAAUGUGUAGAGAUUUCACAGAUUACUCACAUUGUCCCCCUAGAGCACAGCCAGUCCGUGUCAUUAAGCAAAGCCGCCUUUCUCGGUUUGUCUAUGUGGGCGUCCACGGUGUCUGCUCACUUGGGAUGUUGCUGAGGGGAAUGCGAGCCUCUCGUUCUGGCAGAAACAUCAAGCGUCUGCUGUACGGUUCAGCGCUGACCGGAGUUCAUGGUGACUGGUUUUGAAAUGCCCACCCUGGGGACAGAGGGCAGGCAGCUCUGUCAGAUUCGUAGCUGUUUCAGGUGGCCCUUUUAGCUGGCGAGCCUGCACAGUCCACCUGGCCAGUCCUGCCCACCGUCGCCUGCAGCUUCUGGACGGUUGGCCAAAUGCGUGUAGCAGUGUCCCGCCCUGCCCCUGCCUCGUCCAGCGUAGGCACACGGUGCCUCCACCUAAACCACCUGAGGGUUGGUGCUGGUGCAGCAUGACUGGGAUUAAGGCAAAUUCCUUCUUUCCGUUGUUUCAAGUAUAUUUGAGAUUGCUUUUAAUUUAGAAGGUAGUGCAGUUUAUUGAGCUGAACCACAAAGAGAGAACCCCGAAGACGAAGGAGGGUUUGUAAACUUACCUAAAGUCAGACUCUGACACCCGGAGCUGUGGGCUCGCGUCUGCGAAGGUGGCACUCCAGGUGCCCUCUGGUUGGACCCGUUGUGUGUGCACGACGUCAGCGCUUACUCAGCCUGUCGAGCUGAGCUGCCCUAAGGGUGCAUACAUGCAGCAGGUGGCCCCCCCAGCCUGGAGGCUCCACAGUGUGUGGCCUUGCCCCGUCAGGCUGUCUGCCUCUCCUUGGGGCUCCUAACUCGUUAAGAACGACACGUCUUCCAGCAGCCAGGCGGAGCCGGACAAAUGCACAUGGAGUGUGCAUCUCCCCCGUCUUCACUGGGGUCCGAGAAAACCCCUCUGAGAGGUGGUGUUUAAGCAGAGACCCGGUGAGAGGGAGCAGCCACCAGACGCCUACGGGAGGGGUGUGCGCAGAAGGCAGGGUCCUCGGGACCCUGUGUGGCUGGAAGGGGAGCAGGAGGCAGGCAGCAGAGGAGCUGACCUUUCAGAGCCUCACGACACUGGUCAGAGCCCUGGAAGUUCACUUCAGAUGAGAUGCUCCAUGUGUCCAUUCUGGAGAGAUGUUCCCUUAGUCACCAGACCGCCACCCACAGAUCUCAGAGCCUGUGGACCUUCGGUACAAAGCUGGUGACGAACCUCUUCUGUAAUGCUAGCAGGGUGUGACCUGUAGGCCCCCAUCCUGUGUUUGAAAUACGUGUGUGAUGGGCUUGGAGCGGAGAGCGGGUCCAGCCCUGUCCAUCUGCGUAUCCCGUCCCACGUAUGUUUAAGUAGCAGGACCCUGGGUCCUGUCACCCUUAAAGCUACGGUGCUGUCAAGCUCGCAAGGCCCUGGCCCCUCCAGGUGAGGAUCAGAGUGCACCCACCGAGCUCAGGCAAGCAGAAUGAGGGCAGGCGUGCUGCACGCCUUCCAGGCAGCCCGGCGUGACGGGGUGUACGUGGUCCUCCCCGUGUUCCUCUGAGCAGAUGACAGAGGCUCCCCGGCAGCCGCUCUCCCCGACAUCACUGCUCCCCACGUAUGGCCUGGUGUGGGAAAUGGAAACCUUCCUCUUAAUCCCCUUUGGCUUAGGCUUGUCUCCUUUUCUUCCUGCUGGUGUCGCAAGUCAGGAAAGACGAGAUAGUACGAAGUCAGGGAGAGGAGGGCUGCAAGGGAAGCCCGGGCACGGUAGAGGGGAGGAGGUAGGAUGAGUUCUGCGGGGAGGCGAGCACAGUCACCUGGGGUGGGACAGACGACCACCACGUGCGCAUUUCCGCUUCCAGGCCGCCCGCUCACGUGCUACAUGCCCUCAGUCACGGCCUGGCAGCCUUGGUGUCCUCCUGGCCCUGAGCCCUGUGGUUCCGCUGGGGAGUAGCGACACCCGAGUGAUGAUGGUGGCGCCACUCUCAGACAUGCCAUCGAGGACGUGCCUCACCUUGGCCCAAGCCUGGUGCCCUUGAAUUCGAGCUUUUCGGAAAAAGAGAAGGCUCUGCAGGAUUUCUUAAUAACUCAUCUCAUCUUUCCCCGAGGAGGCCUGCUGCAGUGGGUUCUCACGGGCAAGCGCAGCCUCAGAUCCUGGGCUCAGCACUCGCCCGUGGACCUGACCCUAGCAGGUCGCAGGGCCUCUAGGUCUGUCUGCCGUGAAGGCCACACGGAAAGGGCUUCUCGCUUCGGGUGUGAUUCCCCCACCCACAGGACCAGCCUGGAUUUCCGGGAACAUUGGGAACUCUCGGGGAUGUUUGUCAGGCUGGGUGCUAGACCACGGAGAAUCAAGGAAACGCUGAUGGCCUCAACGGCCCAAGCCUGCAGCUGCUUCAGAAGCGCCCUGGUUUGAACCCAAUCCCUCCUCAGAGGACGGGACCGCGGUGGUAACAUAAGAGUCCGGGAGUGGUGGUGCCUGAGGGAUUGGGGCUGAAAAACGUGCCCGGGAGACCUCGGUCAAAGGCAAACGGGGUGGCUUGCGUUAGGGUCAGAUGUCAGAAUUUGGGGACGGGGAUGCGGGCCUCCAGAGCACAGUCCCUGGCAGUGGACGCAGCAGCACGUGCAGAUUUGCCGAGCGGGACAUCGUGUGUCAGCUGCACUCAAAUUAAAAGCAAAAAGAAUGUGGGCGUGGGGGCGUGAGGAAUUGAAAGGCUCCUGCAGGACAGUGGUUAAGCACGGACACCGUUUCAUUUGCAUUUUGCCUCACGUGGAAAAAUGUUCACAAAAAUUUUGUUGGUGGUACCAGUAUGUUUUCCAGUUUCAGAUGUGUCUGCAUAAAAUACAUGUUCACACACGUAUGUCACGCCUUUUAUUUGUUAGGACUGGAGCGUUGUUUGAGGUCACGUCAUCCCCUUGUUCAGCUUUAGUUGCUGUAAAAGAAUUACAUCGUCUUUACUUGGCCCCCACACAUUUUGCUGGGUUUUAUCUACCCUUGAACUCCUAUUUUAGCAUUUUUUAGAGGUAUCUAAGUAGUCUAAGUAGAAAGUUGUCAGUACUGCCUGGACAGAGUUAAUGGGAAAAAUUCUUUGUUUUAAGUGAAAAACUAAAAACGCCUCGGAAUGAACAUAUUGAGUUACUGAGACAGUUGGGAAGUUUCCGGGGCCGGUGCCUGCCUGGCCCGAUGGAGGAGCAGGGAGCCUGCCCACUCUCCCGGGCAGGGAGACUCAGACACAGAGCUGCAGGGCCCUUCAGCGGCACCAGCCUCCCUGUGAAGCAUUUGCUUCCAGACCUGUGAAGUGCAGUGGGGAACAUCAAAGCCGCUAAAGUGAGAACAUUUGAACAUCUUCCUUUCUGUUGGUGAGACAUGUGUUAAAUUCCACAGUCAGUAGCAAAGCACAUUUGCCUGUGAUUUCUUGAGCUUCUCACUUUUCGGUGGUAAGGUGGUAAUUCUGUAGGAGGCCUGGGCUGUUGUAAAACCACCUCUGGUCAUCUGUGAUAACAAGGUGGGGCCUGGAAACCUCAUUCUGGCCUUGCUGUGACCUUCUCCUGCCACCCAGCCCUCUGCCAGAGCCCCUGCCAGCCUCACACUCCUGGGAGGGACAAAGGCCGCCCUCAGUGGGAGAGGCAUGGGCGUCGUCAGUCAAGCAGAAGCAUGGAAAGCGUUGUAGGAAAAGUGUCAUUUUCUGAAUGUGAAAGCAACCACCUUUUUUGAUGGCAGGCUGGCUGUCUUCUGGUUCCCGCCUGCCACUCCCUGUACAGGGGGGACAAAAAGUGGCCGGCUGCACUGGGAAGGGAACCUCCACACUCAGCUGUAGGGCCACACGUUGCUUUUUCCGUCCUUGGCAAAGUGUCCUCCGUGAGCCAUCUGCUUACGAAGUUCCUUUCCCAAUAUCAUUGGCAGCAGAGGCAGUCUAGAUUCAGUGCAGGUGGUUGGACACUGCUCCGUCUAACAGCAGAACCGCCUCUUAAUUAAUUGCUUCCUACUCUAAUGGAAAGUGUGUGCAACAAACUUUUAAUCACAGUGGCAACAUCAGAGAAGAGAGUAAUAAGUUAUGUCCUCCAAGUACAACUCAGCAUGUUUUUACGCAUACUUAGAAAUGUGCGGUUUUCGCAGUUUGAAUUUAGAGAAAUGUAAUUAACUUAGUUUUGGUCUGCAUGUCUGUUUGGUGCAGGAAAUAGACAGUAUGAGCCUGACCAUUGGAGAAGAUACUCCUCUUCCGGCAGAUUGUAACGAUUGGAGACAUGAUGCCCUGUGGUUGUAGAAUAUUCCAAGAAUUGCUUUCUAAUUAUAAAUACAGAGAAAGAAGUCACAACCUCCUUCUCGCCUUCCUGGCGGGAGACCCUGCUCUGCAUGGAGGGCCCAGCCCUGCCUGGGAAGCAUAACAGUGUGUGGCCUGCGGGUCUGUUCCGGUGGUCCAACUGACGCCCACCAGCUGGAAGAGGACAGACCCGCUUGCAGGUGAAGAAGGAAUCAUUGUAAACGUAGACAUUGAGCAUAAAGCCAGUACAGUACAUCUUGCUUACCUACAGCCAAGACCUAGAACGAGAUUGCUGUAUUUCACCCAUUACAGGCACACAGUACAGACAUGUUGAGUGAGGUGACCUGAACGUGGUAUGUGUUUUUAACUCCACUCUACUGUGCCGUUUACGUGGCACCAGGCGGCCAGGCGGAGCUGAGGGCGUGUGAAGAACUGCCUGCUGCCUCCCAGAAGCUUUGCUGUGGCUCCACCCCAAGUGCGGAGAUGCCCUGUAGUCUCUGACAGCUUGUAAAUGUACAGACCUUCGUGGGGAGAACGGAGAAACGAUGAAUGCCUGUGUCAUUGAGGCCCUGCUCUGCGUGAAUCUGCACAGCAUGGGCCACAGCAUCUCCCAAGACAGGGAAGCCAACCCGGAAAGGACCGCGUAGCUUCGGGCAGCCGCCCUUGAGUCCCUUGUGCUUGGGUUACACGUGCAGUCGCAAGUUUCUUCCUGAGUGGUUGGCCUGGGCCUGGGAUGUGCAGGCCCUUGUGAAAGUUCGCUGUGGUCCUCACGGCACAGCUGAGGUCUCUGUGGUCACUUCAAGAGUGCUCAGUUGGGGAGUGGGAAAGACUGUUUUGUGGUUACCAUUGUGUUCCAGGUAAUAUGGCCGGACCACCCUCAUGUGAAGGACACAUCUGAGAACAGGCAGCACAGGGAGCCCAGCGGCUCCCACGGGACUGGGACGUGGGGCCCCGUCUCACAUGCUUGGUUCAGCAGCGGUAGGGAUGGUGUGGUUGGUUGGGCUCAUCAGUUCUCCUUUGUGUUGUGACGCUGAUCUGUAAUACGCAUUUCGCUCUACCAGUUACCAGUGGUUAGUCUGCUGUUACAGCAAGUGAAGACCCACUUCUUCGUCCCGGUUCUCAUUUGGCCCUGUUGUCGAAGUUCUACAGCUAGAAAGGCCUUGGGCACCGGACAUAGUCUGGCCAGGUCUCCUAUGGGCUCUGUACCGCCCCCUUCUCAAAUGUAAGUCUGUACACCCGUGAGAGGAAAAAGAAAGUGGCGAUUCCUGAGUCAAUCUAUUAAUUGUUAUUCUCAUGUUGUUUAAAUAUGUGCAAACAUGCAUCAGGGUCCUUAAUGCUCAGAGCUCUUUCUUAAUGCAGCUUUCAUUCCAACACGUCAUUUAAAUAAACUGAAACUAGAUUCUGA